rnacentral:rRNA from 1 species
CGGCCUGAGAGGGCGACCGGCCACACUGGGACUGAGACACGGCCCAGACUCCUACGGGAGGCAGCAGUGGGGAAUAUUGCACAAUGGGCGAAAGCCUGAUGCAGCGACGCCGCGUGAGGGAUGACGGCCUUCGGGUUGUAAACCUCUUUCAGCAGGGAAGAAGCGAAAGUGACGGUACCUGCAGAAGAAGCGCCGGCUAACUACGUGCCAGCAGCCGCGGUAAUACGUAGGGCGCAAGCGUUGUCCGGAAUUAUUGGGCGUAAAGAGCUCGUAGGCGGCUUGUCGCGUCGGUUGUGAAAGCCCGGGGCUUAACCCCGGGUCUGCAGUCGAUACGGGCAGGCUAGAGUUCGGUAGGGGAGAUCGGAAUUCCUGGUGUAGCGGUGAAAUGCGCAGAUAUCAGGAGGAACACCGGUGGCGAAGGCGGAUCUCUGGGCCGAUACUGACGCUGAGGAGCGAAAGCGUGGGGAGCGAACAGGAUUAGAUACCCUGGUAGUCCACGCCGUAAACGGUGGGCACUAGGUGUGGGCAACAUUCCACGUUGUCCGUGCCGCAGCUAACGCAUUAAGG